AAGACCGCUACGCAACCAUAAAGUUUCUAGAAAUCAAUCAAUUACCCACGAAUAACAUUAUGGUAGUAUUAUAUCUGUUCGGUAAAUCAUUACACACAUAUUAAUUAGUUGUCACCUUACUAACAUUGCACAACUCGUUUGCAGUAUAUGUGAAUUCAUAAUAGUGUAUUGAGUUAUUGGGAAUGAGUCUGAUUUAGACAUAUUUUAGCUGGAGUUUUGUUAGUU